GAUGAACGCUGGCGGCGUGCUUAACACAUGCAAGUCGAACGAUGAAGCCCAGCUUGCUGGGUGGAUUAGUGGCGAACGGGUGAGUAACACGUGAGUAACCUGCCCUUAACUCUGGGAUAAGCCUGGGAAACUGGGUCUAAUACCGGAUAGGAGCGUCCACCGCAUGGUGGGUGUUGGAAAGAUUUAUCGGUUUUGGAUGGACUCACGGCCUAUCAGCUUGUUGGUGAGGUAAUGGCUCACCAAGGCGACGACGGGUAGCCGGCCUGAGAGGGUGACCGGCCACACUGGGACUGAGACACGGCCCAGACUCCUACGGGAGGCAGCAGUGGGGAAUAUUGCACAAUGGGCGCAAGCCUGAUGCAGCGACGCCGCGUGAGGGAUGACGGCCUUCGGGUUGUAAACCUCUUUCAGUAGGGAAGAAGCGAAAGUAACGGUACCUGCAGAAGAAGCACCGGCUAACUACGUG
rnacentral:rRNA from 1 species